rnacentral:rRNA from 2 species
GGACUACUGGGGUAUCUAAUCCUGUUUGCUCCCCACGCUUUCGUGCAUGAGCGUCAGUGUCAGCCCAGAGACCUGCCUUCGCCAUCGGUAUUCCUCCUGAUAUCUACGCAUUUCACUGCUACACCAGGAAUUCCAGUCUCCUCUGCCGCACUCCAGCCUUGCAGUCCCAAAUGCCAUUCCCAGGUUAAGCCCGGGGAUUUCACAUCUGGCUUACAAAACCGCCUGCGCACGCUUUACGCCCAGUAAUUCCGAUUAACGCUCGCACCCUACGUAUUACCGCGGCUGCUGGCAC